AACCUUUACAAUGCACGCAAGUGCGAUAAGGGGACCCCGAGUGUUGGUGCCUAGCAUCAACUGUCUAACUGCCUAAAAACAGUUAUUAGCAAGAGCCGGGUAAGACCGGUGCCAUCCGCCGCGGUAAUACCAGCAGCCCAAGUGGUGGUCGCGUUUAUUGGGCCUAAAGCGCUCGUAGCCGGGCUUGCAAGUCCCUUGUGAAAUCGGACGGCUCAACCGUUCGGCAUGCAAGGGGAUACUGCUGGCCUUGGGAU
rnacentral:rRNA from 1 species